CUUUAAAGGACGAGAAGUAAAAACAUGAGAGGAACUUUCCAUGGACUCUCUUUUUAUCAGCCACAUUUUAUCUGUUGGCUAUUUAUAUUUCUGCUCAUUGUAGCAUCAAGAAGCUGCAGUUUGGGAAAAUGAAUCCUUCCUUUAAAAUGCUUUUUGGGAAUCACUUAAAUUUGAUUUUACACAUACAAACAUCGGCAAAUUUUUCAGAAACUGGCUGGAGAUGUAGCAGGGACGCAUCCAAGGUAAGGAGAUGCUUGGACAAUCCUGCAGCUGCAGCUCUGGGAUAUACCAGGCCAUCUGUCCUAGGAUGAGGCCUCAUUCACCUAGAAGAGGCUUGAUAAGACUGUAGCUAAGAGAGUGCAGUACAGGUAUAGAACAUUCCAAUUCAAUAAGAAAACGUGUGAUUUAUCAUGAGGCAAUAAAAUACAUACAUAAGAAUCUUUAGAUUGUAUCUCCAUUAUAAUAUCUACUAGAUAUCUGUUACAGCUCAAAUGCGAAUAAAAUGGGUAUAAUUUUAUGACAUUCCGGUCUGCUGUCUUGUGUCAAAAAAAGGAAGACAAAUUGAGGCAGAGGAACUGUGAACAGCUCUGCUCAUAGACCUUAAUUAUAGACACUAUUCUAUUUGCGCUUCCUAAAAACAGGAGGCAUCUGCACUUUUGGUCAUACAAUUGAAAGAGUUAAAAAGAGAGAGAAAUAAAGGAAGAGAAUAAGCUCAUUAACAGACCACUAAGAAACACGAGAGAGUAAUUUAUUUCUUGAUUUUAUAUUGAGUAGGAAUAAAUAAAUUUUACUGAAAAAAAUUUUUGAGUCAGUCUACCUUUUAGAGUUCUGAUAAUUUCACCUUCAUUAUCUAAGGAAAAAAAAGUCUCUAGUUAAU
rnacentral:lncRNA from 10 species